AGAUUGAACGCUAGCGGGAUGCUUUACACAUGCAAGUCGAACGGCAGCGCGGACUUCGGUCUGGCGGCGAGUGGCGAACGGGUGAGUAAUAUAUCGGAACGUGCCCAGUAGCGGGGGAUAACUACGCGAAAGCGUGGCUAAUACCGCAUACGCCCUACGGGGGAAAGGGGGGAUUCUUCGGAACCUCUCACUAUUGGAGCGGCCGAUAUCAGAUUAGCUAGUUGGUGAGGUAAAGGCUCACCAAGGCGACGAUCUGUAGCUGGUUUGAGAGGACGACCAGCCACACUGGGACUGAGACACGGCCCAGACUCCUACGGGAGGCAGCAGUGGGGAAUUUGGACAAUGGGGGAAACCCUGAUCCAGCCAUCCCGCGUGUGCGAUGAA
rnacentral:rRNA from 1 species